rnacentral:rRNA from 1 species
GAUGAGCGCUGGCGGCGUGCUUAACACAUGCAAGUCGAACGAAGCAUUUAGAACAGAUUAUUUCGGUAUGAAGUUCUUUAUGACUGAGUGGCGGACGGGUGAGUAACGCGUGGGUAACCUGCCUUGUACUGGGGGAUAGCAGCUGGAAACGGCUGGUAAUACCGCAUAAGCGCACGUUGCUGCAUGGCACAGUGUGAAAAACUCCGGUGGUAUAAGAUGGACCCGCGUCUGAUUAGCUAGUUGGUGAGAUAACAGCCCACCAAGGCGACGAUCAGUAGCCGACCUGAGAGGGUGACCGGCCACAUUGGGACUGAGACACGGCCCAGACUCCUACGGGAGGCAGCAGUGGGGAAUAUUGCACAAUGGAGGAAACUCUGAUGCAGCGACGCCGCGUGAGUGAAGAAGUAAUUCGUUAUGUAAAGCUCUAUCAGCAGGGAAGAUAGUGACGGUGCCUGACUAAGAAGCUCCGGCUAAAUACGUGCCAGCCGCCGCGGUAA